GAUGAACGCUAGCGGCAGGCCUAAUACAUGCAAGUCGAACGGUGUCUUCGGACAUAGUGGCGCACGGGUGCGUAACACGUAUGCAACCUACCUUACAUUGGGGGAUAGCCUUUCGAAAGGGAGAUUAAUACCGCAUAAGACAGUAGCUGGGCAUCCAGCAGCUGUUAAAGAUUUAUCGAUGUAAGCUGGGCAUGCGUCCAAUUAGCUAGUUGGUGAGGUAACGGCUCACCAAGGCAAUGAUUGGUAGGGGAACUGAGAGGUCAAUCCCCCACACUGGCACUGGGAUACGGGCCAGCAUCCGACGGGAGGCAGCAGUAGGGAAUAUUGGGCAAUGGACGCAAGUCUGACCCAGCCAUGCCGCGUGCAGGAUGAAGGCGUUAUGCGUUGUAAACUGCUUUUAUACAGGAAGAAACGACUCUUGCGAGAGGCAUUGACGGUACUGAAUGAAUAAGCACCGGUUAACUCCGUGCCAGCAGCCGCCGUAAAAC
rnacentral:rRNA from 1 species